AGAUUGAACGCUUGCGGUAUGCAUAA
rnacentral:rRNA from 1 species